rnacentral:tmRNA from 1 species
GGGGGCGUAACGGCUUCGACGGGGAUAUCGAAACUUUGGCUGCAUACCGAGCUCCUGCCUGCUCGUUAAACGACGGGAAUAAAUAUAAUCGCAGACGAUUAUAACUACGCUGUAGCCGCUUAGGCUACCGUCCUGUCGGAUUACUCCUGCGGAUCCGAUAAGGGCGUCAACAGCGGGAUAGUUGGCUUCUGUACGCCUGAUUCAAAGCCAGCGAAACUCAUAUCGGGAUAACUGCUUAAGGAUCCAGCCUGAAGGAGCCGUAAGUGGUGACAAUCAAAUUUCAGGAUAUGUAUGUAGACGUCAAAGCGGAAAGUUUUCGGACGCGGGUUCAACUCCCGCCGCCUCCACCA